GACGCAGUGGCACAGUGGUUAAGCGUGCUUGACUUGUGAUCAAAAGGUCCUGAGUUCUAAUCCUUGCCACAGCUUUUGCG